rnacentral:rRNA from 1 species
GAUGAACGCUAGCGGGAGGCCUAACACAUGCAAGCCGAGCGGUAUUUCUUCUUCGGAAGAGAGAGAGCGGCGUACGGGUGCGGAACACGUGUGCAACCUGCCUUUAUCUAGAGGAUAGCCUUUCGAAAGGAAGAUUAAUACUCUAUAAUAUAUUAAUUGGCAUCAAUUGAUAUUGAAAACUCCGGUGGAUAGAGAUGGGCACGCGCAAGAUUAGCUAGUUGGUGAGGUAACGGCUCACCAAGGCAAUGAUCUUUAGGGGGCCUGAGAGGGUGAUCUCCCACACUGGUACUGAGACACGGACCAGACUCCUACGGGAGGCAGCAGUGAGGAAUAUUGGUCAAUGGGUGCAAGCCUGAACCAGCCAUCCCGCGUGAAGGAUUAAGGUCCUAUGGAUUGUAAACUUCUUUUGUAUAGGGAUAAGCCUACCCUCGUGAGGGUAGCUGAAGGUACUAUACGAAUAAGCACCGGCUAACUCCGUGCCAGCAGCCGCCGUAAAAC